ACCAGAGGUGUCACCUCAGGGGGGCUGCUUGCAGGUGGCUGUCCUGGCUCCAGAAGGAGCAUGCCCACUCCCCCAGUAUGACUACAGCCUGGGCAAGGGGCACCCGCUAACCCCUGAAUUACCUUGGAUUUGGUGUGACUUGUGAGUAUAGAUGAAGAGUUCCAUUUCCCCCUUCCUGCCCAUGACGGUUACCCAGGGUGAUGGAGGCUGGCUCAGCUGAUCCAGGAUUGCUGAGGGCUGAGUUUGCAGGUCCCACCCACCACGGCUCGCAGGGGGCGCAGGCGAUCGGAGCACCAGCCCAGGACGCAUGGCCCGCACCACCCACGCACGGCCUCCCGCGGUAGCCACCCCGCGUCGGGCGGAUUUCACCGCGAUCACAGAAACAGGAAAGCCAUCCGAACUCUGAACAGUGAUUCCCACGCGGUGACAUUCUGCGUGUCUGAGAAGCCGUGUCAGGGUUUGAAGAAAGUGCCAGCAGAGUUCACAGUUGGGACUGAGAAAGAGAUGACACAUAAACACGUCCGUAUUUUGUUUCAGACGUGACAUUUCACCUUGGAGCGCACAAACGGAAACUUUCCCUAUCAGAGUGUCCACACCGAGUGGCAAAGUCCUGACGCCAGCAAACUUCUGGAAACCACUCCCCUCGCAGCCAGGGCUGCCUCUAGGGCACACGAUGGCCAUUCCAGCCACAAAACAAGCCGCACUGAUUAGCACAGGCGCCGUAACUCACUCUGAGUAUGCAGAUGUGUAUGCAAAGGGAAGAGGCCUACCCACGGGGAAGAUAAAACUCAAUUAGCAGGAGCGUCAGCAAUAUCCCUGAGGGUAAUAAAGCGCCUCCCGCCGCUGCCUGCCACCCACUGCCCGCCGCCUGCCACCUGGGGGAGAGGCCCAGAGUGAUUGAAACCAGCAGCCCCUGCCAGCCGCCAGCCCCCCGGAGAGUGAGGAGCUUUUCUCCAGGUGGAGGCCGGGGCCCAGGACCGUGGCCGGAAAGUUCACUGCCUCCAAAGUAAAAGCUCUGGCGGAAGAAGAGCAGGUGGGCUGGGAGGGUGUCAGGGACAAGGGGCUGUCACCAAAGGCACGCGACUCCCAAGCUGGCGAAGGCGCAGGGAGAGGCCACGGUCCCUGCUGCUCUGCGUGACCACCCGGCCUCCCCGUUGGCCCCCUGAACACAGGCCACACUGGAGAGGGGUCGGGACUGGGGACGGGUAAGAGGUAGGCCAUCUGCAGCACACAGAGGGGACUUUGCUUUGGGCCCCAUGGGCAGUGGACCCCCGUCCUGGCCUGUCCGCUGUGCCCAGGAAGCGCCGUUGGCUCAAGGUCGGGGGGCCAGGCUCCCAUCAGCUCACCAGCCAGCUCCUCAGAGCCCAGGGUGGGGUUUUCCCCCUGGAGAAGCGGCUUUGUCCCCCAUCUGUCCCUGUCCCCCGUCUGUUCUGCCUGAGCACCACCUCCUGCAGGUGCCAGCUACUUCCAGUGGACAGGCCUGGGCUCCGCACACCCAUCCCCACGGAGGCCCCGCACUGGGGUGAUCCAGCCCUCAGCUUGCUCCUCUGCCUCUGGAAAUUCAGGAUGGGCCCCACCCUGGAACAGUGUUCAUGGCCUCCUGCUGUCAGUCGGCGGCUCACCUGCUGGUACAGGAGGAGCACUGUCCACAGGAAAGGACCAGAGAUGGAUGUAGGCAGACUAGCCUGGGGGCAGGAAGCCGGGGCACAGGGCCAGGUGCUGGGUCACCCUCAGAAACCCACCUACAGGGGCCCACAGCCAGCCGGUGCACCCAAGACCCACAGACCCAGCCCAGCCCAACUCCAAGAACACAGCUCCGUGCUCGUACACCUGUGGGGAAGAGGAUUCUCUGUGUGAGGAAGGAACCCGCCAGCAGCGCCCCGAGCCAGGACGCCCAGGGAGGUGACCCUGACGUCCCCACCCGGCUUGGUCCUCCGCUAGAGCUUCAGCUGCUCUUCCUGCGUUAAAUCUGCAUCACGGUCGUCCUGCAAGGCAGACAUCACCACAGCAAGUAGAGCGUUCUGACCUGGGUGGAGUGACCCCGACCUUUGUACCAGACCCAUGAGGUCAAGGUCAAAGUGCUUUUGGGGAAAUAAAUCAUAUAACCUUUAUUUUAAUGACAUUUAUGCCAAAUAAAUUAAUGCAUUGCUCAUUGUUGGCCAGAUAAGUGCAACGGGGGGUGUGUGUGUGCAAACUUAGGAGCACAUCAGAGAAUCCUGUGGCGUGGGCACAGCAGCCCCGGCCCCUGGCGAACACGUGGCGAGGGGCCCCUUUGGUUACUGUGCCUCUUGUGUCCGCUGUUAGGCAAGUUGGCGUAGGAGAAAGGUGCUUCCUACUGGACGUGGUGAAAUCUGACUGCUGCCCAGAGCCCAGCGGCCAGCACUCCCCUUCUGCGAGGAGGCUGUGUGGUGCGGUGGCCCCCACGCUCGGAGAGUGCCCGGCCACCCUGGGGAGCACCUGGUCUUCUGCGCGGUGGCCACGUGCUGCUCCCCACACCCAGGUGCUCCCUCAUCCAGAUGUGGACAAAGUGGAGACUCGGGGGGAGGAAGGCGGCCCUCACAGGCGCAGCCCCCACACCUCGAUCCCAGAU